UACGUAGGGGGCAAGCGUUGUCCGGAAUCAUUGGGCGUAAAGAGCGUGUAGGCGGCCCGUUAAGUCCGCUGUGAAAGUCCAGGGCUCAACCCUGGGAUGCCGGUGGAUACUGUCGGGCUCGAGUCCGGAAGAGGAGUGUGGAAUUCCUGGUGUAGCGGUGAAAUGCGCAGAUAUCAGGAGGAACACCAAUGGCGAAGGCAGCACUCUGGGACGUGACUGACGCUGAGACGCGAAAGCGUGGGGAGCGAUCCGG
rnacentral:rRNA from 1 species